rnacentral:rRNA from 1 species
AAUGAACGCUGGCGGCGUGCUUAACACAUGCAAGUCGAACGAGAACGGGGGACUUCGGUUCCUUUAGUAAAGUGGCGCACGGGUGAGUAACGCGUGGGUAAUCUACCCUUGAGUCUGGAAUAACGUUUCGAAAGAGGCGCUAAUACGGGAUAAGACCACAGGCACUUCGGUGCAAGGGGUAAAAGGUGCUUUCGGGCACCGCUUGGGGAUGAGCCUGCGUGACAUUAGAUUGAUGGUGAGGUAAUGGCUCACCAUAUUGUCUACGAUGUCUAGCUGGUCUGAGAGGAUGAUCAGCCACACUGGGACUGGAACACGGCCCAGACUCCUACGGGAGGCAGCAGUGAGGAAUUUUGCGCAAUGGGGGCAACCCUGACGCAGCAACGCCGCGUGAGUGAUGAAGGCCUUUUGGUUGUAAAGCUCUGUCGCCUGGAAAGAAACCGCAGAUCAGGAAAUGGGUCUGCGCUGACGGUACCAGGAAAGGAAGGACCGGCUAACUCCGUGCCAGCAGCCGCCGUAACAC